AAGGGAUGCAGCAGGUUAAUGACAGGAAGGUCACUUAAGAAAGCAUCAGGCUGGGCGCAGUGGCUCACGCCUGUAAUCCCAGCACUUUUGGAGGCCGAGAUUACAGGCAUGAGCGACUACACCUGGCCGCUUCCUGUACUCUGAGAAGUCAGGUUUCUUGCCCUUGUGUCGCCACCUCCAGUGCCAGUUGCCAGCUGACGGUCCUGGAAGGGAAGUCGGGACUCUACUUCUCCUCUCUGGACUCAAGCAUUGACAUCCUGCAGAAGAGAGCCCAGGAGCUGAUCGAAAACAUCAACAAGAGCCGGCAAAAGGACCAUGCACUCAUGACCAA
rnacentral:lncRNA from 10 species